rnacentral:misc_RNA from 1 species
GCAAACUUGGUCAUUUAGAGGAAGUAAAAGUCGUAACAAGGUCUCCGUAGGUGAACCUGCGGAGGGAUCAUUACCGAGUGAAGGCCCCUUAAACCAGGGCCGACCUCCCAACCCUUUGUUUACCGAACCUCUUGUUGCUUCGGCGGGCCCGUCCCCUCGAGGACCGCCGGGGGAGCGCCCUUCGGGGCACCCCUGGCCCGCGCCCGUCGAUAGCCCAAACCCCCAAAUUCGUGAAUGAAUCGUGUCUAUAAUUCUGAGUAACUGGUCUUAACCGGCCGCAAAAUUAAAAGCAAAACUUUCAACAACGGAUCUCUUGGUUCUGGCAUCGAUGAAGAACGCAGC